rnacentral:rRNA from 1 species
GACGAACGCUGGCGGCGUGCUUAACACAUGCCAGUCGAACGGAAAGGCCCCCUUGUGGGGUACUCGAGUGGCGAACGGGUGAGUAACACGUGAGUAACCUACCCUUGACUUUGGGAUAACUUCAGGAAACUGGGGCUAAUACCGGAUAGGAGCUCCUGCUGCAUGGUGGGGGUUGGAAAGUUUCGGCGGUUGGGGAUGGACUCGCGGCUUAUCAGCUUGUUGGUGGGGUAGUGGCUCACCAAGGCUUUGACGGGUAGCCGGCCUGAGAGGGUGACCGGCCACAUUGGGACUGAGAUAGGGCCCAGACUCCUACGGGAGGCAGCAGCGGGGAAUAUUGCACAAUGAGCGGAAGCCUGAUGCAGCAACGCCGCGUGCGGGAUGACGGCCUUCGGGUUGUAAACCGCUUUCGCCUGUGACGAAGCGUGAGUGACGGUAAUGGGUAAAGAAGCACCGGCUAACUACGUG